GACGAACGCUGGCGGCGUGCUUAACACAUGCAAGUCGAACGGAAAGGCCCUGCUUUUGUGGGGUGCUCGAGUGGCGAACGGGUGAGUAACACGUGAGUAACCUGCCCUUGACUUUGGGAUAACUUCAGGAAACUGGGGCUAAUACCGGAUAGGAGCUCCUGCUGCAUGGUGGGGGCUGGAAAGUUUCGGCGGUUGGGGAUGGACACGCCGCUUAUCAGCUUGUUGGUGGGGUGGUGGCUUACCAAGGCUUUGACGGGUAGCCGGCCUGAGAGUGUGACCGGCCACAUUGGGACUGGGAUACGGCCCAGACUCCUACGGGAGGCAGCAGUGGGGAAUAUUGCACAAUGGGCGGAAGCCUGAUGCAGCAACGCCGCGUGCGGGAUGACGGCCUUCGGGUUGUAAACCGCUUUCGCCUGUGACGAAGCGUGAGUGACGGUAAUAGGUAAAGAAGCACCGGCUAACUACGUG
rnacentral:rRNA from 1 species